rnacentral:rRNA from 1 species
CGUCUAUAUACGUAUAGCAUAUCAAUAAGCGGAGGAAAAGAAACUAACUAGGAUUCCCUCAGUAACGGCGAGUGAAGCGGGAAGAGCUCAAAUUUGAAAUCUUCAAGGUUCUACCUUGACGAAUUGUAGUUUAAAGAAGUGUUUUCUGUUGAAGUUUCGGUAAAAGUUCUUUGGAAUAGGACAUCAUAGAGGGUGAGAAUCCCGUAUUUGACCAGUUAUUUCCAGCUGUGUGAUACACUUUCAAAGAGUCGGAUUGUUUGGGAAUGCAGUCCAAAAUGGGUGGUAAAUUUCAUCUAAAGCUAAAUAUUGGCGAGAGACCGAUAGCGAACAAGUACCGUGAGGGAAAGAUGAAAAGAACUUUGAAAAGAGAGUUAAACAGUACGUGAAAUUGUCAAAAGGGAGGCGUUUGACACCAGUGUUGUUUUCUCGAAAAUCAAUUAAAAAUGGCCUGAUUUUGUGUUGUAUUGACCUUUAAUCAGCUUUCUUCACUCUUUUCAUUGUCUUUUUUAAUGCACUUUUCGUUUAACAAGUCAACAUCAGUUUCUUUUGUUGUAAAAGAGUCAUUGGAAGGUGGCUUUCCUUUCGGAUGAAAGUGUUUAUAGCCUUUGACUUCCUGCAAUCGGAGAGAUUGAGGUCUGCAGCGUAGAUCCUUCUGGAUUAGAUACAUUUGUGCUAAGUUAUAACCGUUUCAUAGACAACUUGUUGACUAUAUCGAUCAUGUAGCUUACUCGCUUAUGCUAUUUUACCUACGCUUAGGAUGUUGAAGUCAUCGUAUCGCGC